rnacentral:rRNA from 1 species
CCUACGGGAGGCUGCAGUGAGGAAUAUUGGUCAAUGGACGCAAGUCUGAACCAGCCAUGCCGCGUGCGGGAAGACGGCUCUAUGAGUUGUAAACUGCUUUUGUACGGGGGUAAACGCAGAUACGCGUAUCUGUCUGAAAGUAUCUUACGAAUAAGGAUCGGCUAACUCCGUGCCAGCAGCCGCGGUAAUACGGAGGAUUCGAGCGUUAUCCGGAUUUAUUGGGUUUAAAGGGUGCGUAGGCGGUCGGAUAAGUUAGAGGUUAAAUCCCGGGGCUCAACUUCGGACUUGCCUCUGAUACUGGUAGGCUAGAGAGUAGUAGCGGUAGGCGGAAUGUAUGGUGUAGCGGUGAAAUGCUUAGAUAUCACGAAGAACUCCGAUUGCGAAGGCAGCCUACUAAAUUGACACUGACAUUGAUGCUCGAAAGUGUGGGUAUCAAACAGGAUUAGAUACCCGAGUAGUC